rnacentral:misc_RNA from 1 species
UUGUUUUUGUUACGAUAGUUUACAUUCAUCACACAUUGUUUUGGUGUUUUUGCAUCGGGGGCCCGAGAGCCUCCAGACUUACACAGUUCACGGUGUGUGUGGAAUAGACACGGCCAUAGGCCAAUCUCUAAUGAUCCUUCCGCAGGUUCACCUACGGAAA